rnacentral:rRNA from 1 species
GUGAAAGUUUCCAAGGGCGCAUGGUGGAUGCCUUGGCAACAGGAGCCGAAGAAGGACGUGGGAAUCUGCGAUAAGCCUGGUGGAGUCGAUAACCGGACGUUGAGACCAGGAUUUCCGAAUGGGGAAACCCCGCACGACGUGUCGUGUGACCCCCGGUUGAACACAUAGACCGGGUGGAGGGAACGUGGGGAAGUGAAACAUCUCAGUACCCACAGGAAGAGAAAACAAAAGUGAUUCCGUUAGUAGUGGCGAGCGAACGCGGAUGGGGCUAAACCGUAUGUGUGUGAUACCCGGCAGGGGUUGCAUGUGCGGUGUGUGGGCCCCUCCUUGUCAUGUCUGCCGGCAUGGCGCAGUGAGGUGCGGGCAUAUAGACGAACCAGUGUGGAUGCUGGACCGUAGAGGGUGAGAGUCCCGUAGUCGAAAUGUGUUCCGCCGCUGUUGGAGGGUUGCCCGAGUAGCACGGGGCCCGAGGAAUCCCGUGUGAAUCUGCCAGGACCACCUGGUAAGCCUGAAUACUACCUGUUGACCGAUAGCGGAUCAGUACCGUGAGGGAAUGGUGAAAAGUACCCCGGGAGGGGAGUGAAAUAGUACCUGAAACCAUGUGCCUACAAACCGUUGGAGCCUCCUUGUGGGGUGACAGCGUGCCUUUUGAAGAAUGAGCCUGCGAGUUAGUGAUACGUGGCGAGGUUAACCCGUGUGGGGAAGCCGUAGCGAAAGCGAGUCUGAAUAGGGCGAUUGAGUCGCGUGUCCUAGACCCGAAGCGGAGUGAUCUACCCAUGGCCAGGUUGAAGCGCGUGUAAGAGCGCGUGGAGGACCGAACCCACUUCAGUUGAAAAUGGAGGGGAUGAGCUGUGGGUAGGGGUGAAAGGCCAAUCAAACUCCGUGAUAGCUGGUUCUCCCCGAAAUGCAUUUAGGUGCAGCGUCACGUGUUUCUUCCCGGAGGUAGAGCUACUGGAUGGACGAUGGGCCCUACAAGGUUACUGACUUCAGCCAAACUCCGAAUGCCGGGAAGUGAGAGCGUGGCAGUGAGACUGUGGGGGAUAAGCUUCAUAGUCGAGAGGGAAACAGCCCAGACCACCGGUUAAGGCCCCUAAGCGUGUGCUAAGUGGGAAAGGAUGUGGAGUUGCUGAGACAACCAGGAGGUUGGCUUAGAAGCAGCCACCCUUGAAAGAGUGCGUAAUAGCUCACUGGUCAAGUGAUUCCGCGCCGACAAUGUAGCGGGGCUCAAGUACACCGCCGAAACCGUGGCAUUCAGUUUUGCUGGAUGGGUAGGGGAGCGUCGUUCACGAGGUGAAGCCAGCGGGUAACUUCUGGUGGAUUGUGGACGAGUGAGAAUGCAGGCAUGAGUAGCGAAAGACGGGUGAGAAACCCGUCCGCCGGAUGACUAAGGGUUCCAGGGUCAAGCUAAUCUGCCCUGGGUAAGUCGGGACCUAAGGCGAGGCCGACAGGCGUAGUCGAUGGACAACGGGUUGAUAUUCCCGUACCAGUGAAGAACCGCCCAUGUUGAGCCGGUGAUACUAACCGCCCGAACCAUCCCGA